rnacentral:rRNA from 1 species
GAUGAACGCUAGCGGCAGGCCUAAUACAUGCAAGUCGAACGCUCAGUAGCAAUACUGGGAGUGGCGCAUGGGUGCGUAACGCGUACACAAUCUACCUCUAAGCGGGGACACCUCCUGGAAACGGGGAUUAAUACCGCAUAAUAUGCCGAGGUCGCAUGACUUUGGUAUUAAAGCAGCAAUGCACUUAGAGAUGAGUGUGCGUCCCAUUAGGUAGUUGGUGAGGUAACGGCUCACCAAGCCUAUGAUGGGUAGCCGGUCUGAGAGGAUGGUCGGCCACACGGGCACUGAGACACGGGCCCGACUCCUACGGGAGGCAGCAGUAAGGAAUAUUGGUCAAUGGUGGAAACACUGAACCAGCC